rnacentral:lncRNA from 1 species
GUUAAAAAACCUGAAUAUCCAACAGCAUCACACCAACUAAAGAAAUACUGG